UCAUUUUCAUCAUGUCCACGAAAUGCCAAUCCUUGAUGCAAAAGAAACUUGAUACAUCUAAGUGAAUAUGUCAACCUUUUCUUAUAAAGACGAAGAUCCUCAUCAGUCCACUUCUCAAUGUGAUAAUCAAUUGCUACCUUGGGAUUUAUAAAACCAAUGUAUCUCUCCUGAGCUGCAUUGUGUGCCAUAGAACCACUAUGUUUGAGAAGUGCUUUGUUUCCUAUAUUCCAAUUAUUCCAUCCUCCAACAAUAAAUGUAUUUGACCCAGCACCCUUCUUGAACAAGUAGCAUAUAAAGCAAAACGCAGAAUCCUUCUUGAUACUAUAUUCAAGCCACUCAUGAUUAUACAUCCAUACAUAAUUGAAUUGGCGAUCCCUACCUC
rnacentral:lncRNA from 1 species